rnacentral:tRNA from 1 species
CAAAGUGUAGCUUAAAUAUAAAGCACCUAGUUUACACCUAGAAGAUUUCGAGUAAUACUGACCACUUUGA